AGUUGUUUUGAAAUGGCUGCCGCUUAGUGGCAAUGGGGGAAGGGUGACAUCCGCUAUUGCUUGCAAUGGCAAUUCUAGUUAUGGCACCCUCAACGGAGUUGGGGUGACAUAUUGUUAUUCUACGUUUCUUUUUUUUCUUAUUAUUUUUCUUCCACACAUUUUGUCCGCGCGAGUUCUUGGAAUCCAAUGGACCAAUGUUGAUGGAACUCUUCUAUAAUGAGGACCCCCAUGUGAAGUUGUGCACCUUGCUAUGGAAUGGUAAAAAAUGGCCGCCGUUUCCAUGGAAACAGCACAAAUGCGAAAAAAAUCAAAGUGUUCCAAACUGGAAGAAACUCCACAGGAAUGUUAACUGGCAUGUGCUGAUUUCCAGUUUGACUUUGGAAUUUUCAAAAUGGCUGCCGUUACCAUGGAAACAGCUAAAAUAUCAAAAAUUCUAACUCUUUCGUUAUAAGAUCCAAC
rnacentral:lncRNA from 1 species